CAGUUUUGUUGUGUGGAACAACUGGACUCCACCUUCUCCACUCUACUGACUUUCUCCUGCCAUAGUUUCAUACCCAUUUGGUCCAUUCUUUCUUCUUCGGUCUAUUUCAUUUCUAUCAUCUUUCUCUAUAUUCCAAUUUCCAAUUCUUUCUCUUUUUCCUUGCAACAUAAUAUUUGCUUUAAGUUUUUCCUUUCGUCAUUUACAAUUAGAGGUUUGAAAUGGCCAAUUCUGCUAAUUCUUAUUCUCUAUGCAUGUAGAAUUGUAGAUUAUGUUCCUGGGGAUCAAUUCACGUGUAAGGAAGCUUAUGUGACAAAGAAUGUUCAAGUUCCAGCAGUAGAAUAUCAAGCAGGCCAAACCAGGAGAAAGGGUUGAUUUCAGAUUCUCCAAUUUCUAAGACGUCCUUCAGUGUGUAAAUUAAAACUUCUGAGGCAAACCCGGGAAAAGGACUUGCCAUGGUCAUGGAGGACUUGAAGCUUCUCCUUUAUCACUUCAAAUAGCCAAUUAUGUGACUAUUUAUCAUGGAAUGGAGUUUCUUUGAAGGAACAAAGGGAUGUUUCCAGCAACGAGCAACCUCAACAGUACUCUAUAUGGCUCUUAAUUGGACUAUGUGAUUUCUUUUGCUCAUGAUGUAAACACUGAUAUUAACAUGAUGGUUAGGAGAUGCCCGCGAACAAGCGAUAUGUUUGGGUUUGAUUUUGCAAGUGUAUUAUAAGGAAAGUAAAAGAGAACAGAAUAUUUACUUAGUUCGAUAUGAGAUGAGACUGGGGAGUGGGGACUAAUAUAUAGUUUUCUAUGUUUGUCAAUAUCUUAGCAUUACUAUAUAUGGCUCUUGGUUGGACUAUGCGA